CCGCCACUGCGCCUGUCUUCCAAAAUCUGGCGGCGCACACAACCAAUUCGCCGCCGGCCUAUGACUCCACGCACCACUGCCAGGCCCCCACCUCUCCACCCGCAUGGCCGAUCUGUGAACAGAGAAAGCAUCAAUGAAGUAGGUUCCUCCUAAUCUUUUCACUCCCCUCUCUCCUUUGGAUCAAGCUCCCUCCACCUGGAGGAAGGGCUGAAGCCGGGUCGAUUCCGUCGUGCGUCAGAGCUUAGAGGCAUCACCGCCGGGGCGCGUCACCGGGCCACGCGCCGAGAGAGCAGCACGGUUACUGGCUGCACGUUGGAGCCUUGGAGGUUGCUGGCUCGCAGCAGGCUGGGGCUGCUGGACAUGGAGAUCAGAUGGAGCAUAAGUCAGCGAGUACUUCAAUCUCAAGUUCGAGCUCCCCGUCCAGCCCCAUGUCUUCGUCUUCACAUGAAUCAAGCAGAGAUAUGACAACUUCUGCACUGGAAAAUGCUGUAAUUUCAGCCAAAAGCCCAAAAUUGAGGAAUCGUGUUCAUGCAGAAAAAACUACUGUACUUCUUUUUGGUCUUCUACUAUAUUUAGAGGUGGAUGCAAAUUUUUGCACAAUCUUCGGCUUUCUUGAUGUUGCACUGAUUAUGUAAUCUGCGUAUGGGUUGAUAAUGAGUUAUAAAGCUCGGGUUGUCUAAAGUGUGAAUGUACAGUUCACUAUUAUACUUCAACAUGAUCAGGUGUUGUUCUUUCCCCUCUCGCACUUAUGAGAUCAUUACUUUGUACCCCCCUCUUAAAGAAAUACUCCCUCCGUCCGGAAAUACUCGUCGGAGAAAUGCAUAAAAAUGGAUGUAUCUAGAACUAAAAUACGUCUAGAUACAUCCAUUCCUCCGACAAGUAUUUCGGGACGGAGGGAGUAUAAGAGUGUUUAGAUCACUGUAAUUACUAUUCUUAUUCCAUCAUAUUCCGUAUCAAGCCGAUAUCUCUUGUACAAUAGUCGUUUUCGCAACUAAAUAUUUUAUGGUAUGUUUUUUUUCCAUCAAGUUGAUAUCCCAUUAUGAUAUGUUUUUUGCUUUGCACAUGCAGGAUGCCUUUAAUCAAAAGGAUUGGUUUAGUCAACCCAUAAGAUUGAUUCAUUACCUUGGAGUUCCAGAGGGAUUUUGUGUAGCAUGUUCUUCAGCUGAGCGACUACUUCGUCAGCCAAACACCCGGCUCCUGCUGCAAAGAUGUCCACUGUCCAAGACCCGUGCGUAUCAUUAUUCUCCCUGUCUGUGUCGCGCAACACCAGUUUCCUGUAGCCCUGCCUCCAUCAGCUUCUCCCUCUUCCUUGCAAUCGGUGAGUUCAGCAUACAAGCUUCAGAUUGAUAAGCUCCUAUGUACUGCUGUUCUAGACAAACAAUGACAACGAUGCCUUCUUGUUUUUAGUACUAACCAGCAUUUCAGAGAACAAAGUUAUUGCUGUAAGUAGCUUUUUGAAAGUUCCUUUUCAGUUUUCAGUCUUGGGUACAUGAAAAAAAUGAUGUCACAAUCUGAAAAAGUUUGGCCAUGUAAUGUCAAUUCUAGCUGAGAAUUACAUAUUAUGAUAGUACAAUGAGAUGCUUGUGUGCAUUAGUUUACGGUUUUACGCCAUGACUUUUUUCCCUUCCUUUAAUUGAUCUAAAUGCAAUGGAUGCCAUGCACUGUACGAAACUAUCUGAAUUUGCUCAGUGGGUACAGGACAUCGUCAACAGCAAUAUCUGCACUUACAGUUGGCAAAACCGAAUUUCAGCUCCGAUCAAAGCUUCUACUUCAUGGCUGCGCAUUCUAAAAAUUUAGUGAUUUUGCCCACUAAAGAUAUAACAUAUCUGCUACUAUUAAUAGCACGUGAUCCGUUUUUCUUCAUUUAUGCUAACCGUCAGAACUAAUAAAAUGCUUGAUGAUAUUAGUGGAUCUCUUUAUAACCGUAUAUGUCUGGUUGUUCCAAGAUAAUUGUUAGCUGUGAUAUUAUGUCAAUUGAUUAUCUUGCUGAUGCUGAUCCGCUCUAUCCAUCGGAAUUCUUACAUUCUGUAGUCGUUAAAAAAUUUGCACGUCAUGAAAUUGGUUUGGAAGUUAAAAAAUUAUUGACGUAUAUAAUAAAGGACAGUGUUUUUGUAUU